UACGUAGGGGGCAAGCGUUGUCCGGAAUCAUUGGGCGUAAAGAGCGCGUAGGCGGUCCGGUAAGUCCGCUCUGAAAGUCCGGGGCUCAACCCCGGGAGGCGGGCGGAUACUGUCGGGCUAGAGUCCGGAAGAGGCGAGUGGAAUUCCUGGUGUAGCGGUGAAAUGCGCAGAGUAUCAGGAGGAACACCAAUGGCGAAGGCAGCUCGCUGGGACGGUACUGACGCUGAGGCGCGAAAGCGUGGGGAGCAAACAG
rnacentral:rRNA from 1 species